rnacentral:rRNA from 1 species
CAACUUGAGAGUUUGAUCCUGGCUCAGAACGAACGCUGGCGGCAGGCUUAACACAUGCAAGUCGAACGGACGUAGCAAUACGUUAGUGGCAGACGGGUGAGGAACACGUGGGAACAUUCCUUUCAGUUCGGAAUAACUCAGGGAAACUUGAGCUAAUACCGGAUACGUCCUUCGGGAGAAAGAUUUAUCGCUGAAAGAUUGGCCCGCGUCUGAUUAGCUAGUUGGUGAGGUAAUGGCUCACCAAGGCUACGAUCAGUAGCUGAUCUGAGAGGAUGAUCAGCCACAUUGGGACUGAGACACGGCCCAAACUCCUACGGGAGGCAGCAGUGGGGAAUAUUGGACAAUGGGCGCAAGCCUGAUCCAGCC